rnacentral:snRNA from 1 species
AGCCAUGUGGUGAGCACAAAGCGAACUAUUCUUUCGCCUUUUACUAAAGAAUACCGUAUGCUUUCCACGCCAAGUAGCAUACGCCUAUUUUUAGAGGGUUCUUUCUCAACAGUGAGAC